rnacentral:tRNA from 1 species
GGAGGAGUGGCUGAGUGGACGAAAGCGGCUGCCUGCUAAGCAGUUGUACCUAAUUAUCUGGUACCUCGGGUUCGAAUCCCGACUCCUCCACCA